AUUGAACGCUGGCGGCAGGCCUAACACAUGCAAGUCGAGCGGAUGAAGGGAGCUUGCUCCUGGAUUCAGCGGCGGACGGGUGAGUAAUGCCUAGGAAUCUGCCUGGUCGUGGGGGAUAACGUCCGGAAACGGGCGCUAAUACCGCAUACGUCCUGAGGGAGCAAGUGGGGGAUCUUCGGACCUCACGCUAUCAGAUGAGCCUAGGUCGGAUUCGCUAGUUGGUGGGGUAAAGGCCUACCAAGGCGACGAUCCGUAACUGGUCUGAGAGGAUGAUCCGUCACACUGGAAGUGAGACACGGUCCAGACUCCUACGGGAGGCAGCAGUGGGGAAUCUUGGACAAUGGGCGAAAGCCUGAUCCAGCCAUGCCGCGUGUGUGAAGAAGGUCUUCGGAUUGUAAAACACUUUAAGUUGGGAGGAAGGGCAGUACUUUAAUACGUUGCUGUUUUGACGUUACCAACAGAAGAAGCACCGGCUAACUUCGUG
rnacentral:rRNA from 1 species